rnacentral:misc_RNA from 1 species
UUCAUUUCAGGGAAAUCCAGCCUCUUGAGUAAUGACAUGCCCAGAACUCGAGAAUAGAAGUCGAGACUGGCUUUAGGAUCCUUAAUCCGAAACAUAGUCUGUUGCAUGAGGUAACCUUUAGUAGCAUCAUCGGGGGUAGAAUGAAGUCCUGGAUUGUUGGCUGGAGAGUCUUUGGAAGACGAAGCCAUGGAGAAGGGCCGGAAUCGAUUCAAUUUCUUUUUCAGAGAUCACUCCCG